UACGGAGGAUGCAAGCGUUAUCCGGAAUGAUUGGGCGUAAAGCGUCCGCAGGUGGCUGUGUAAGUCUGCUGUUAAAGAGUGAGGCUCAACCUCAUAAAAGCAGUGGAAACUACACGGCUAGAGUGCGUUCGGGGCAGAGGGAAUUCCUGGUGUAGCGGUGAAAUGCGUAGAGAUCAGGAAGAACAUCGGUGGCGAAGGCGCUCUGCUGGACCAUAACUGACACUCAGGGACGAAAGCUAGGGGAGCGAAUGGG
rnacentral:rRNA from 1 species